UACGGAGGGUGCGAGCGUUGUCCGGAUUUAUUGGGCUUAAAGGGUGCGCAGGUGGCCCGGCCAGUCAGUGGUGAAAUGCGGCCGCUCAACGGUCGAACUGCCAUUGAUACUACCGGGCUUGAGAGAAGUAGAGGCUGCCGGAACGGACGGUGUAGCGGUGAAAUGCAUAGAUAUCGUCCAGAACGCCGAUGGCGAAGGCAGGUGGCUGGGCUUGUUCUGACACUGAGGCACGAAAGCGUGGGGAGCGAACAGG
rnacentral:rRNA from 1 species